GACACAUCUGCCUCUCCAGGACCUCAGAUUCCUGACAACACUGUUGGCUUCCUGAAGACUCCUUCAUCCUGCAGAAGAUGCAACUCCACGGGGUCCUGAGAGAUUGGACAUGGACAUCUGGCUGUGGGCUGUGAGACAUAAACCUCCGUGUCGAGCUCAUACAAAAUCAGCCACACAAACACUGACCUCCAGGGCUGUUUUAACCAUUCAUGAGUCCCUUAGUUGGCCGGGCAUCAAAAUCAGUGUGGAUAAGAACUAAAUCUUGUUGGAGGAUUGCUUUGGAGGUUCUCAUUCAUACCCAGUCUUGGAAAAACCAUCACCUUGUCCUGAAUCUAUACUGCACUUAACCUAUUUGUUUGUUGCGUUCUUUAAGUGAAGGAAAAAUCACUUUCACAGAUAAAAAGCAGGUCUGCACAGUCCCUCUGGUAGAGCCAAAGUGGUGGCAUCAACAUAAAAGAUU